rnacentral:rRNA from 1 species
CCUACGGGAGGCAGCAGUGGGGAAUUUUCCGCAAUGGGCGAAAGCCUGACGGAGCAAUACCGCGUGAGGGAUGACGGCCUAUGGGUUGUAAACCUCUUUUUUCAGGGAUAGUUACCUGAAGAAUAAGCAUCGGCUAACUCCGUGCCAGCAGCCGCGGUAAGACGGAGGAUGCAAGUGUUAUCCGGAAUCACUGGGCGUAAAGCGUCUGUAGGUGGUCCAAUAAGUCAACUGUUAAAUCUUGAGGCUCAACCUCAAAAUCGCAGUCGAAACUAUUAGACUAGAGUAUAGUAGGGGUAAAGGGAAUUUCCAGUGGAGCGGUGAAAUGCGUAGAGAUUGGAAAGAACACCGAUGGCGAAGGCACUUUACUGGGCUAUACUAACACUCAGAGACGAAAGCUAGGGUAGCAAAUGGGAUUAGAUACCCUUGUAGUC